GCCUUUCCGAGGAGCUGCAGUCAGCGUGGCCUCUGGCUUGUCAUCGCCUCUACCAUCUGCAGCUCCAGGGCAUCAGGUGGGUUGACAGAAGAAGAGGAUUGCAUCCACUCAGCUGGAUUGGACAAACAAGCAGGACCAUGAGAGUGUAAUCUUCCCUGUUGCAGUCCAAGUGCUAACGUGAUAUUUUUGAUAGGAUGUCAAUGACAGCUGCGAGCCCAGAACAUCUUCUUGAUGCAAGCCGCUGGAAAAGAAUGAGGAUUCAUUCAGCUAGCAUUUUAUUGAGUGGUAAUCCAAGGCUGCAUUAGGAUAAUCCACUAACAGUGCAAUCCUAUACAUGCCUACUCAGAAGCCUAGUAUUUCUGGAGUCUGCUGCAAACUCCCUCUCCAGCUUUCCAGAACGAUGUGGGUCCUGCAGAUUGCAUCUUCUUCUUGCAUUGCUAAUGCUGAUUAAUGAGCAGUCAAUACCAUCUAGGAAAUGAUGCAGGUCGCAGUGCACCACCCUGCCAGGAAGAAACUGCAGACCAGACCAGUGUUCUGCCUGCAGGAGGGUGGUUGGAAAGGGAAAAAAAUAUUUUCAGAACUCGACAGAGAAGCACGUUGGGAAGUAUCACCUGACUAGCUGUGGCCUGUGCAAGGAGUUUCCCUUGCCUGGUGUACUUAGUCUUCCAGCAGCAACUUCCUUCCUUUGUUUGGCCAGAGCUUAGUGGUGAUACAUAGGCUGAAUUCUCAUCUGACGUUCCUCAGGGACAAGCUGAGAUCACAUAAUGAAGAUGAUGAUGUCACCAUGUAAUGUAGUCAAUAAGAUUUCGCUCCAUGCUAAUAUCACUGGAACAGAUGAAUACUUCUCUGCUCUUUUGCAGCAAUCUUUAACAAAAAUGCACAAAAGGGGGGGUGCCUUUCGAUACUGAUGAAACAUAAAACUAGGCCCCUCUGGCUCAAUCCUCGUCGAUACUUGUAUAAUAAGUUGUUAUGAGAAGUCUGUGUGUCUCCUAAUCCUAUCAUGACAAGAUCAUGCUUAUUUAUAAGCCCUGAACAUAAGGAAGGAUGUCUAUAUCAGCAUAUGUAUAUUUUUGAUAGAGGGUGAGGUAGAAAAUAAAACCAUGAAUCAUG